rnacentral:rRNA from 1 species
GACGAACGCUGGCGGCGUGCUUAACACAUGCAAGUCGAACGGAAAGGCCCUGCUUGCAGGGUACUCGAGUUGCGAACGGGUGAGUAACACGUGGGUGAUCUGCCCUGCACUUCGGGAUAAGCCUGGGAAACUGGGUCUAAUACCGGAUAGGAGCCAUUUUUAGUGUGAUGGUUGGAAAGUUUUUUCGGUGUAGGAUGAGCUCGCGGCCUAUCAGCUUGUUGGUGGGGUAAUGGCCUACCAAGGCGGCGACGGGUAGCCGGCCUGAGAGGGUGGACGGCCAUAUUGGGACUGAGAGAAGGCACAGACUCCGACGGGAGGCAGCAGUGGGGAAUAUUGCGCAAUGGGCGCAAGCCUGAUGCAGCGAGGCCGCGUGGGGGAUGACGGCCUUAGGGUUGUAAACUACUUUCGCUAGGGACGAAGCUUUUUGUGACGGUACCUAGAUAAGAAGCACCGGCUAACUACGUG